rnacentral:rRNA from 1 species
CACGUAGGGGGCAAGCGUUGUCCGGAUUUAUUGGGCGUAAAGAGCUCGUAGGCGGUUGCGUAAGUCGGAUGUGAAAACUCAGGGCUCAACCCGGAGACGCCAUCCGAUACUGCGGUGACUAGAGUCCGGUAGGGGAUCAUGGAAUUCCUGGUGUAGCGGUGAAAUGCGCAGAUAUCAGGAGGAACACCAGUAGCGAAGGCGGUGCUCUGGGCCGGUACUGACGCUGAGGAGCGAAAGCGUGGGUAGCGAACAGG